CCCGACGGCCGCAGCCCCCCGAGCUGCACGCACCUUUCUCCCCGCGGCUCCUCGGCCUCAGGCCGCCUUCCUCCCGGCCGUGGCCCGGCUCUGCCUCAUGCCUUCCCGCGGCUCUGCCUCAGAGGAAACAUUGCCCAGAUCAACACAUGCCCGAGGAGUGAUUUUACACGGGUAGGACGGCGCUUGCUGCCUGCUGGAAAAACUUCCAAUCAGCAGCAUUCACAAGCUGGGUUUAUUUUUCGCAGUUUUCUGAGUUGGGUUUUGUUUCGGUGCCAGAGUAAAGAGCUGGAGGUACAUAUUUCAGCCCGACCUGCAACACCCUCGUCAUCACCGGAUUUGAGUGAGGAGCGGGCUGUGACCUACAUUUGCAGCCCAGCCUACAUAGGGGUCCCCAAACCCCCAGCAUUGCCCCACUUUGCUUUAUGGGGUUUACCGUGGGGUCAACGCUCGUUCGUUGCAAAUGUUCUGCCCCAAACGCCAACCCCGAGCAUCCUCCAAAGCCUCAAAGCUGGGGCAUGGGGCUGGAACAAAAUUACCCAGAGCUUUUAAAAGCUCUCCCACCUUCGUCUCCGCUCUUCCUCCGGGUAGGUGUCCCGGCGGCGGCAGAACAAGACGCCUACAGAGGGCUGCUGGAAGCUGUCGGGCCGGAAUACACUGGGAGGCCUUUUUGCCUGGAAACUAUUUCCUACCCGCAGGCUGCGGUGGCAGCAAGCAUUCCUGCGCGGGUUGGCAGGCGGGCGGCGAGCCCCAGCCCGCGGCACGGCACUGAUGUCCCCACCACAAAGCCCUUUUAUGCUCGUGGGAUUGGGGUUUGUUUUCUCCGAGGGGAGACGCGCGGUGUGCCGACGGUGAGCGGGGCGAAGCGUCGCCUCCCCUUGUUUCACGGGGCGAGCGCAGGGAAAAAAGAGAGGUUUGUUGCAAAGAGACCCGAGCCGGAGCUGUUGGGGAGCAAAAACAGCCCAUUAAAGUCAGGGCUGUGGCUGUAAAUCAAUAGAGCUGCUGCUAUUUCCAUCUGCCAGGCGAGGAGUGGGGCAGUGCCCACGUGUCCCCUGCCCACGUGUCCCACGCCGAGGGACGUGUCCCCUGCCAGAGGAAGUGGCAGCAUGAGGUGGGACCCCCGGUGGCUGUAGGUCCUGAUGAGCUGUGGGGCAGCACCCUGAGCCAAACUGCCUCGUAGGGUCCGGAUGUUUUUCCCCAAAGCCCCAAAGAUGUGAGUGAAGAUCCGUGAUUGAUUGAGGAGACACAAUUGAAGAGCUGUGAUUGAAGGGACGUGAUUGAAGGGACGUGAUUGAAGGGACGUGAUUGAAGGGACGCGAUUUUUUGUUUCCUUUCCCUAAACAUAUUCAGACGAGCCUAUAGGCUGGGAAAAAAAAAAAGAGAUCAGGAAGAAA